rnacentral:rRNA from 1 species
UACGUAGGCAGCGAGCGUUGUUCGGAGUUACUGGGCGUAAAGAGUGCGUAGGCGGUUUUCUAAGUUUGGUGUGAAAUCUCCCGGCUUAACUGGGAGGGUGCGCCGAAAACUGGAAGGCUUGAGUAUGGGAGAGGUAAGCGGAAUUCCUGGUGUAGCGGUGAAAUGCGCAGAUAUCGGGAGGAACACCAAUGGCGAAGGCAGCUCGCUGGGACGGUACUGACGCUGAGACGCGAAAGCGUGGGGAGCAAACAGG